rnacentral:lncRNA from 1 species
CGGUGGACAGUGGGAGACAGGGCUGCCCUUGGGGGGGGGCGCAGGAAGACGGAAGGAAAUUCCAGGGGAAUGGACUCCACCAGGAACAAAGUGGUGAGACUGCAGGCAGAGGCAAGCACAGUGGGCGGAGCAGGGCGACGUGGGGCAGGAAGGGGCGGAGUCAAGGGCGGAGAGGACCCUGUCCAAGUGUGGGGAGAGCCCUUCCCUGGCAUCAGAGGAUCGCCCCUGCGCGUGCUGUCUUUUGGAGUGGAGCCUGAAGACAGAGGGGGCGGAGGACAUCAAGGCAGCCACAACAGCGCAACCAAAGACACGAAAGAGGACUCCGGGCCUGCUUCAGAAAGCGGCAAGGAUGGGCUGCUCAGGCUUCUGAAGAGCUAAGAAGAAAUGCAGAAAAUAAAAACACAACGAUAUGAGAAGGAAAGGAAAGGGAAGACAAGGCAGGAGGUAGAUGGCUUGGAGCCUCUAAAUCAAGCAAUGAAUUGCAGCACUUUCAACAGCAGGUGACCUGAAGCUGCAGGAAGGACAGCUGAUAGUUUUUCUUUGAUGCUUCUUCCUUCCUUCUCAUGGGUUGACCCACCCAGUUGCAGUCAUUUGUACCUGAUUUCCAUAGAGAUGUUGAGUAACAAACCUCAUCAAGUCAACAGGAAAAGGCUGCCAGCAUAGGCAGAGGUCUGUCUAAGGAAGACACUAAAUUAGGAAGCACAAAGUGCUUCCGACAGAGAGGCAGAGUGGACCCUCUGCAUAACCCUCAGCCUUGGACUGUACCCCAUCAUGGAAGGAUAAAACCCUUCCUUUACACUUGCAGUAGGGGUUUCAUAGCAACUUUGCUUGCCAACAUUAUUCAGCAUCCACCUACCUGGCAUCCACAUCUAUCUGUCUCAUUAAUGUACAUGUGCAAACAGCGGACAGGUGACUGGUGAAGUCUAUUAUACCUUGUGUCUAGAUGUCUCCCCAAAGCCUCCGGCAGCCAUCGGUGCGCUUUGUCAGAGGGGGCUGAAUCUGCAGUAUGUGACUGACCCAUAGUGCGAUGCUAGAAUUAAGGGUGCUUAGGGUUAAGGGUGGGUGAUUACUCAAUCAGUCCACUGAUUGUCUUUGUACCAUCCAAAUCCUGGUAGCCUGGAUAUAAUAUAACGAACAGAAAGAGGCUCGUCUCCUCCUUUGCUUGCUUUGCUACCUUCUGCCCACCAUGAACUAUUUCUCCUCUGCAAUGCUUGUCUGCUAUGCUACUGUGUCUUGGAGCCAGCCAACUGUGGAUUAAAGCCUCUACUAACUGUGAGCCA